CAUUGGUGUUGCAUCGGGCGUUCUGCGUUUGAUGAAGUGUUUUAAGAAACUUUGUAGACCCGUGUGUGAACUGCCAUUCUGACUAUGUAAGGAUCACGGGGAACUUCGAUCUCAUCGACAAUAUUUCACAUCGUCACAGCUGUGCUUUGCACAUACAUCGAUAAACCGCCACGUGCAGACUCUUCUCAGAAUGAAGUGUACACCUGGAGGCAGUUAUUCAUAUUCACACCUAAUGUUUCUCGACACACAAGACACGUGGCAGGGAGUUAGUCAUCGAGGGUAACCCCAAACCUGCGGUGGGUCUGUUACACCUGAUUUCAGCCACACACCUUGAGCUGCUGUGAAGGUCUGACUCACAACAUGGACUUCGCGAAGCGGCGCCUGCUUUGGUCUCUGAUGAGGACUCCUGAAGUCGUCCAAGAUUUCCAGAUACAAAAGCUGGCUCAGAAAAAACUUGUGCAGGAGAACUAUUUCUCUACAGGCUCCAGGCUGUGGAAGUUCCGCGUUCCCUUGGCAACUGUCGUUUCAGUAAUGUCCUUGCUGGAUCUCUGGCUGCCAAAGCAAAGCCGCCAGCUGCUGCACUCGGGUACUUGACAACCCUGAGAGAACCUGUACAGGAGAAAGAUUCUUCUUUAGCCCUAGCUGUGGUGGGUCGGCGUUUCCUUGGCAGCAGCAUCGGUAGUUCUAGCAGUGUCUGUAGCUCGUGCUCUCCGUAGAAUCAUUGAUGGAUCUCUGGCUGACAAAGAAAAGCUGCAAGCUGUUACAACCGGGGACGGGACAGCCCCGAUGCAAGCUGAUACAACCGGAACGGGACAACCCCGCAAGAACCCACUCAGGAGAAAGAUUCUUCUUCAGGUUCCAGACUGUGGUGGAGGGUCGGCAUUCCCGUGGUAGCAGGAUUGGUUACAGCCGUGGUAGCUGUCGUAGUAGUGCUUGUAGUUGUCGCAGCUGCUGGUUUCGGUGAUGGCGGCAUCACUGCUGGAUCUCUGGCUGCCAAAGGAAUGUCGCUAGCGGCUAUUACCGGGCAUGGCGCGUGGGUGAUUGGCGGUCUUCAGUCGUUGGGAGCUGCAGGACUGACGGCCUCGAAAGCAUUCCUGGUUUGGAGCACUGGGACCGCACUUGUUAGUAUGAUGAUCAACGGCAGUGCCAACGAGGACAAGAAAGAAAAAAGAAGAAGAGAAACAGAAAGAGAAAUAAUAAGUCCUGCUGAGGAUGAUAGGUGGGUGGGUAACAGAUACCUAGAUAGUGAUUUCGAUCUUCGUUAGAUAUAGACGAUAUUACAAGCAUAUUAGCGCAUCUUUUAAAUUAUUUGCCAGAUUUGCUUCAUUUAACAGUCUUAAUACUUUCCUACAUCAUCAUCGUCGUCGUCGUCAUCGUCAUCAUCAUCAUCAUCAGAUGACUCUCAUGUCAUUGUAUGUAUUCUGUCUCACCCUGGAUCAUGGAGCGAACCUUCAGGCUUUGUGUCUAAGAAAGGAAAUCCAGUAAGAUGGUGUGGAGGCGAUAGAUAGUGGGGACAGAGCGACAGAACAGAGAAGCAAAAGAGAAGAAGGCAGACAUGAGUAGUAUCUCUUCUUCGCUUGGUAGACAUUCACUGCUCCUGAAACUUUCUACAACUUUGUACAUAGAAUAUUACAGAUUAAUGUGUCAUGUUGUAUAUAACAGAUAAGAGAUGAUUUGUAAGGCGCAUCUUCCACUUGACCAAACACCUCGAUGCAGAACACACACACACACACAUAUAAAUGGUAAACUAGGGAGCACAUCAUACCCCACAGACCGCUUAUGACAUUAGACAAAGCAUCACUCUCACACACACACAAACAACAGAUCACAUAUCAGAGUGGCAACAGAAUGUAUUAAGUAUUAUUAAGUAUUAUGUAUUAGUAACCCUAUUGUCAAAUUUUGGGAUAAAUCGAUCUUGUAGGUUAGUGAAAUCUCAAUAAAGACGAGUGUGGCGAACUUCGA
rnacentral:lncRNA from 1 species